AACGAACGCUGGCGGCAGGCUUAACACAUGCAAGUCGAGCGCCCCGCAAGGGGAGCGGCAGACGGGUGAGUAACGCGUGGGAAUCUACCCAUCUCUACGGAAUAACGCAUGGAAACGUGUGCUAAUACCGUAUACGUCCUGCGGGAGAAAGAUUUAUCGGAGAUGGAUGAGCCCGCGUUGGAUUAGCUAGUUGGUGGGGUAAAGGCCUACCAAGGCGACGAUCCAUAGCUGGUCUGAGAGGAUGAUCAGCCACACUGGGACUGAGACACGGCCCAGACUCCUACGGGAGGCAGCAGUGGGGAAUAUUGGACAAUGGGCGCAAGCCUGAUCCAGCCAUGCCGCGUGAGUGAUGAAGGCCCUAGGGUUGUAAAGCUCUUUCACCGGUGAAGAUAAUGACGGUAACCGGAGGAGAAGCCCCGGCUAACUUCGUGCCAGCCGCCGCAGUAAUAC
rnacentral:rRNA from 1 species